rnacentral:rRNA from 1 species
UACGAAAGGUGCAAGCGUCGUUCGGAAUGACUGGGCGUAAAGCGCACGUAGGUGGGCUUGUAAGUCGGAUGUGAAAGCCCCAGGCUUAACCUGGGAAUGGCACCCGAAACUAUGAGUCUUGAAUGCCUGAGAGGUUGGUGGAAUUCCUGGUGUAGGAGUGAAAUCCGUAGAUAUCAGGAGGAAUAUCGGAGGCGAAGGCGGCCAACUGGUGGUGCAUUGACACUGAGGUGCGAAAGCGUGGGGAGCAAACAGGA